ensembl:lncRNA
GGAGGAGAGAGCGGAGCCGGCCGUGCCCGCCAGGUUGGGAAGCGGCCGGGAGCGGGGCGCGUGGGGCGGCGGAGGGGAGGCGGGCGGGAGGCGGCGGGCGGGCAGGCCGGUGUGAGCUGUUUGGCCACCGGAGCCAAUCGAAAGCGGGGCCUUGAUCCUCUCCUCGGGCAGUGGCUGCGCCGAGCCAGUGCCGCGCUCCCCGCAGCCCUCGGGACCGGCACGGCCGCCUCGCUCUCUCCGCGCACCGCCGGCCCCACCGAGCGCCUAUGGGCAUCUGCAGCCGGCGAGGGCUUCGCACCACCGCCACCGGCAGCAGCGGCAGAGGGCGGCGACCGCCACCCCGCUUCAUCGCCCCUUGGGAUCUAUAGCCGGCGGACGGAGCGCGCUGCGGAGCCUUCCCCGCCUCCGUGCAGGUGCAGAGGAGUUUCUGGUCUAUUGUGGAAUGUAUUUGGACUGAUGCAUUACUCUGAUGAACAUUGUGAGAGACAUCAAUGCACAGUGAAACAACAGAAAACUGGGGGAGUGUAUGGAAGCCGAUUUAACAGAAAGCUGUCAGUGCCUUUAACAAAAAUAAAUAUUACUUUGCAAUUGAUUAAAAAUAAGAGCUGUAUAUUUAAGAUGGCAGGCAUCUUUCCCUGUUUAAAUGCUAACUAAUCCAAACUUCAAACUUAAUUCAACUGCUGUACAGUUUCCAUCUCUUUCUUCUAAUUACAAAUGGGAAGAGGGUGUGUUCCCUGGUGCUUCUGACUUGUGUGCAGGGUAGGUUAUCACACUUAUUCUAAGGUCUGGUAACUUUUCAAGCUUUUAGGCCUGAAUGCAGGAAGCCAAUUAAGUGUUUGCUUAACUUCUACAGUGUUAGUUUAAAGCUGCCCUGUCUUAAUCAGAGUCCUAAUUACUAAAAUGCUCCCAUACCUGCAUGAGAGCUUAGUCCUAUCUGUUGACUGUUAAUUAUAUUACAUUUAUUCUUGCAUAAAAGCAGCUGUAGUUAAAUGGAAAGCCUUAGCUCACGUGGUUCUCAGAAUCACCCAGGCUUUUGGAGGAUGAAGGUGCCUUUGUAGAGUAACAAGGGAGAAGCUUAAUGAACAGGUUCUGUGCACAAGGCAUGUUCCCUUUGACUGGCUGGUCAUUGUGGUGUCUGUACGGUGGCAGAUGCACCAGCUGGUGCUCUUUGCCAUUGAAGCCAUCUCCUGAGAAACAGAACGGGGCCAAAUGUACAAACUGCUUCAGCCUUCUGCUGAAUGAAUGCUCCUGAAUGUUUGCCUUGUGUUUUUCUUACUCAGUUAUUAGCAGCAUCACUCCAUCUCUUACCAUGUCACGUGAGUGCACAACUUACGCUUUUGCUUGAGGAGGGCAAAAAUCCAUAUGAAUUCAAGAGCAGAACAAGUGACCAACUCUUUUUACAGCUCUAGUGCUCUGUUCUGAAAGGGAGGUUGGACAAAUAUGUGCAUUCAAAAUAUAUUAUAAUUCUGACAGAUUUUAAUUUUUUUUCCAAGCUAUAAACCGGGAGUUUGGUUCUAUCUCAUGAGUAUAUGGCAAAUCUGUUACCUGGAAAGAGGAUGGAAAAGUGUUUCCUCCAACUUUUUUUUUGCCAAACCACUCUACUUGUUUGUUUGUCCUUAAUUCAGUUUAGUUUAAUUUUGUAUUGCAGUAAUUG